rnacentral:rRNA from 1 species
UACGUAGGAGGCGAGCGUUGUCCGGAGUUACUGGGCGUAAAGGGUGCGCAGGCGGUGGUGCGCGUGGAUAGAUGAAAUCUCCUGGCUUACCUGGGAGGAUGGUAUCCAGACGGCAUCACUUGAGGGUCGGAGAGGGGCGUGGAAUUCCGGGUGGAGCGGUGAAAUGCGUAGAGAUCCGGAGGAACACCGACGGCGUAGGCAGCGCCCUGGACGACACCUGACGCUGAGGCACGAAAGCUGGGGGAGCAAACAGG